rnacentral:rRNA from 1 species
UACGUAGGGUGCGAGCGUUAAUCGGAAUUACUGGGCGUAAAGCGUGCGCAGGCGGUUGUGCAAGACAGAUGUGAAAUCCCCGGGCUUAACCUGGGAAUUGCAUUUGUGACUGCACGGCUAGAGUGUGUCAGAGGGGGGUAGAAUUCCACGUGUAGCAGUGAAAUGCGUAGAUAUGUGGAGGAAUACCGAUGGCGAAGGCAGCCCCCUGGGAUAACACUGACGCUCAUGCACGAAAGCGUGGGGAGCAACCAGG